rnacentral:tmRNA from 1 species
GGGGGCGUUUUGGUUUCGACGGGUUUAUUCGGUCUUUUAGCUGCAUGUGGAGGAUUUCUGGUUACCUCCUAAAUCAUCCGGGAAAAACCUUAAAUGCCGAUUACGGCUACGCUGCUGCCGCUUAAUUAACGGCAGCUGUCUCCUAACAGGCGUGUUCGCCGCCAGUUAACGAGAUAUCAUUCUUUGCGGACUGCUCCAAUACUGUGUCUGACGGCAUUGGUUAAGAUUCCUUCGGGAAACAGACUGGUUCAAUGGAACUGGGGCUGAUCACGAACAUUGAAUAAGACUUAGAGUUCAGCCUAAACAUGUAGACGCUGAUUGUACGAUUUAUUCGGACGGGAGUUCGAUUCUCCCCGCCUCCACAA